GUAAGGAUGCGUAGGCGGAUAAUCAAGUCAAAAGUGAAAUCCCACGGUUAAGCCGUGGAACUGCUUUCGAAACUGGUUAUCUAGAAUAUGGAAGAGGCAGAUGGAAUUAGUGGUGUAGGGGUAAAAUCCGUAGAGAUCACUAGGAAUACCGAUUGCGAAGGCGAUCUGCUGGGACAUUAUUGACGCUGAGGCAUGAAAGCGUGGGGAGCAAACAGGAUUAGAUACCCUGGUAGUCCACGCCCUAAACGAUGUACACUAGUUGUUGCGAUGCUCGUCAUUGCAGUAAUACAGUUAACACAUUAAGUGUACCGCCUGGGGAGUACGGUCGCAAGAUUAAAACUCAAAGGAAUAGACGGGGACCUGCACAAGCGGUGGAGCAUGUGGUUUAAUUCGAAGAUACGCGAAGAACCUUACCUAGACUUGAAAUCCUUGGAAUCUUUCAGAGAUGAGAGAGUGCUAGUUUACUAGAACCAAGUGACAGGUGCUGCACGGCUGUCGUCAGCUCGUGUCGUGAGAUGUUGGGUUAAGUCCCGCAACGAGCGCAACCCUCGUGAUUAGUUGCUAACAGUUCGGCUGAGCACUCUAAUCAGACUGCCUUCGUAAGGAGGAGGAAGGUGAGGACGACGUCAAGUCAUCAUGGCCCUUAUGUCUAGGGCUACACACGUGCUACAAUGGUUGGGACAAAGAGCAGCGAUACCGCGAGGUGGAGCAAAUCUUAAAACCCAAUCUCAGUUCGGAUAGGAGUCUGCAACUCGACUCCUUGAAGCUGGAAUCGCUAGUAAUCGUAGAUCAGCAAUGCUACGGUGAAUACGUU
rnacentral:rRNA from 1 species